rnacentral:rRNA from 1 species
AACGAACGCUGGCGGCAGGCCUAACACAUGCAAGUCGAGCGCGCCUUCCGGGUGAGCGGCGACCGGGUUAGUAACGCGUGGGAACGUGCCCUUCUCUACGGAAUAGCCUCUGGAAACGGAGAGUAAUACCGUAUACGCCCUUUCGGGGGAAAGAUUUAUCGGAGAAGGAUCGGCCCGCGUUGGAUUAGGUAGUUGGUGGGGUAAUGGCCUACCAAGCCGACGAUCCAUAGCUGGUUUGAGAGGAUGAUCAGCCACACUGGGACUGAGACACGGCCCAGACUCCUACGGGAGGCAGCAGUGGGGAAUCUUAGACAGUGGGGGAAACCCUGAUCCAGCCAUUCCGCGUGAGUGAAGAAGGCCUUCGGGUUGUAAAGCUCUUUCGUCGGGGAAGAAAAUGACUGUACCCGAAUAAGAAGGUCCGGCUAACUUCGUG